AUCUUGGGCAAUGGGGGAAACCCUGGCCCAGCGACGCCGCGUGGGGGAUGAAGGCCUUCGGGUCGUAAACCCCUGUUAGGUGGGACGAACGUCUCCCUGCGAAUAGCUGGGGGAUCUGACGGUACCACCAGAGAAAGCCCCGGCUACCUCCGUGCCAGCAGCCGCGGUAAUACGGAGGGGGCGAGUGUUGUUCGGAAUUACUGGGCGUAAAGGGCGCGCAGGCGGCAUGGCAAGUCGAGUGUGAAAUCCCCCGGCUUGACUGGGGAAUUGCGCUCGAAACUACCUCGCUGGAGGGCGGGAGAGGGAAGUGGAACUCUCGGUGUAGGGGUGAAAUCUGUAGAUAUCGAGAGGAACACCGGUGGCGAAGGCGGCUUCCUGGCCCGUACCUGACGCUGAGGCGCGAAAGCGUGGGGAGCAAAC
rnacentral:rRNA from 1 species